rnacentral:rRNA from 1 species
AACGAACGCUGGCGGCAGGCUUAACACAUGCAAGUCGAGCGCCCCGCAAGGGGAGCGGCAGACGGGUGAGUAACGCGUGGGAACGUACCCUUUGCUACGGAAUAGCUCCGGGAAACUGGAAUUAAUACCGUAUGUGCCCUACGGGGGAGAGAUUUAUCGGCAAAGGAUCGGCCCGCGUUGGAUUAGCUAGUUGGUGGGGUAAUGGCCUACCAAGGCGACGAUCCAUAGCUGGUCUGAGAGGAUGAUCAGCAACAUUGGGACUGAGACACGGCCCAAACUCCUACGGGAGGCAGCAGGGGGGAAUAUUGGACAAUGGGCGCAAGCCUGAUCCAGCCAUGCCGCGUGAGUGAUGAAGGCCUUAGGGUUGUAAAGCUCUUUCACCGGAGAAGAUAAUGACGGUAUCCGGAGAAGAAGCCCCGGCUAACUUCGUGCCAGCCGCCGCCGUAACAC